GGAGGUUGGUAUAUUGUAUAGACAUUCGGCUAUUGUUAAAGACCGUAAAUUAACCUCUGGAUGUUUCUUUUUAUCACAAAGUUGCUGUCCCUUGACGUGUGUCUGCCUUCAUUUACUAGAAUUAAUAAAUAUGAGGUGUACAGCUAAUGAGACGACAACUUUUUUCUACAAACAAGUGAAAGAAAUAAACAGGUAGAUGUGGAAUAUACAUCAAUAAGAAUCAACCGAAC
rnacentral:lncRNA from 1 species